AGGUAAGGCAGCUGAUUCAAGUACAGAAUUUAGUGCAACAACAUACAUUUCAUGUUUUUUUGAGGACUGUUGUUGGCAACAAACAUAGAAAAGGGGAUUCCAGGUCCCUAAAUGUAAUUAAUUAUUGAAUAUCAUUGAAUAAUGCAUAAUUAUUACACCCUUGCUGUUUGGUACAGGCAAACAAAUGUUGAAUCCUCUCACCACUGUAGUUCAUAAAUCAGAAAAGUGCAACUCACUCAGUUUUAACAUUCACAACAUAUUUCCUCUGUUUUAAUUCUUACACAUAUCUAAUUCUUGUGUAUUUUGUCUGUUUCUGAUUUAUCAGUUUUUUUUCUCCCUUUGUAAGCAAAUCUCCUUUAUGACAGUGCUCCUCCCCAUAACAUCUGCUUUCUCUUGGAAUUUCCAUCUCUAGGAUACAAUUAAUGUUCUGUGUUUCCUGCCCAGGGAAAACCCCAGAACUAGCAUUAACACAUCAAAGUUUUUUUCUCCUAAGGCAUCAAACAAUUAAGACAUCAGCAGUUUCAUUUCACAUCUAAUAAAAUAGCCCUCUUAACAUAAUGGCCACAUCCAUUAUUCUUUAAUUAUAUAUACAGCACAUAUCUUUAGUUAGGUUUUACAGAAUAUAAAAUCAAAGUGAUAAAGCCAGAAGAAUUACAGACAAAAAAAGCUAUUCUUAAAUAUAUAGGCAC